AGUGAACGCUGGCGGCGUGCCUAAUACAUGCAAGUCGAACGAUGAAGUCCUAGCUUGCUCGGAUGGAUUAGUGGCGCACGGGUGAGUAAUAUAUAGUUAAUCUGCCCUACACAGAGGAACAACAGUUGGAAACGACUGCUAAUACCUCAUACUCCUAUUUGACAUAAGUUAAAUAGGGAAAGUCUUUUCGGUGUAGGAUGAGACUAUAUCGUAUCAGCUAGUUGGUAAGGUAAUGGCUUACCAAGGCUAUGACUCGUAACUGGUCUGAGAGGAUGAUCAGUCACAUUGGAACGGAGACACGGUCCAAACUCCUACGGGAGGCAGCAGUAAGGAAUAUUGCGCAAUGGGGGAAACCCUGACGCAGCAACGCCGCGUGGAGGAUGACACUUUUCGGAGCGUAAACUCCUUUUAUCAGGAAAGAAUAAUGACGGUACCUGAUGAAUAAGCACCGGCUAACUCCGUG
rnacentral:rRNA from 1 species